AACUUGGAAAAAAUUAAACUUAAACUUGUAUGAAAUAUGCUUAUCUUAAAACGCAGAAAAAUGACCAUCUCACUUGUUAUGCAAACUUCAAUAUAAGUAAUUAUCAUGGUCAAAGUUUCGAUUAAUAUUCUAUAAAGACAUAACAAAGAACAACGAACACGUGCAAAAUAUUGCAACAAUAAAAAUGUGAGUAUACUUAAAAAAUAAGUUAUUGCAAUUCGUAACUGUUUAUGUCUGUUUUCCACGUGACUCGCGUUUUAAUGACACGUGCCACGAAUAUAAUUUAGUGUUGUUCAUGUUAAUGACUUUCUCAACGAAAAUAUAACUUUCGUCUAAGCAAGUCCAUAAACGAUUGCAUCGAUUGAUUACAGUUAUAAGAAGAUUUAUUGAUAGUUUCCUAGUCAUUAUGGUUUUUGGAGGAGUUGAAUAGGAUUAACAACGCAAAUUAUAGGAAGGAUGACAGUAAAACUUUUAAUAAUGAUAAAAAAAAAAAA